rnacentral:rRNA from 1 species
GACGGAGGAUGCAAGCGUUAUCCGGAAUGAUUGGGCGUAAAGCGUCCGCAGGUGGCAGUUCAAGUCUGCUGUCAAAGACCGGGGCUUAACUUCGGAAAGGCAGUGGAAACUGAACAGCUAGAGUAUGGUAGGGGCAGAGGGAAUUCCCAGUGUAGCGGUGAAAUGCGUAGAGAUUGGGAAGAACACCAACGGCGAAAGCACUCUGCUGGGCCGACACUGACACUGAGAGACGAAAGCUAGGGGAGCGAAUGGG